GAUAGCUCAGUCGGUAGAGCAGGGGAUUGAAAAUCCCCGUGUCCUUGGUUCGAUUCCGAGUCCGGGCACCA
rnacentral:tRNA from 4 species